rnacentral:rRNA from 1 species
GAUGAACGCUGGCGGCGUGCCUAAUACAUGCAAGUCGAACGCAGUGGGGACGGGUGAGUAACACGUGGGUAACCUCCCAUCAGAGGGGAUAACACUUGGAAACAGGUGCUAAACCGAUACUGAUGGCUGAACCCGCGGUGCCUUAGUUAGUUGGUGAGGUACCGGCUCACCAAGGCCGCGAUGCAUAGCGGACCUGAGAGGGUGGUCGGCCCCACUGUGACUGAGCCAGGGCCCAGACUCAUACGGGAGGCAGCAGUAGGGAAUCUUCGGCAAUGGACGAAAGUCUGACCGAGCAACGCCGCGUGAGUGAAGAAGGUAUUCGGAUAGUAAAGCUCUGUUGUUAGGGAAGCGGUAUCUAACCAGAAAGCAACGGCUAACUACGUGCCAGCAGCCGCGGUAAUAC